UUCGUCUCUCAUCUUCUUCCUUCUCUUGGUUUUAGUUUUGUGUUUCUUUCUCAGAUCUGUUUCGACGUUCUUCUCCGUUGCGAUUUUCUUCAACAGAGUUUUAUUUAUAUUUAGGCGAUCUAUCUGUUCAUAUUGGUUUUUCUUUCUUAAACUAUUUUUAUUCUGUUUUAUUCCUAAUGUUUUCUUUUGGAUCUGGUUUUUUAAUUGAUGUUUUCUGAAUCAAUUUUUUCAUCUGCAGAGGGUUUUUUUAUAGAUCUAGAACACAAAUCUCGUUAUCAACCUUUCAUCUUUAUCGCAUUCGUUGGGUUUGGAUGUUUCAAACUAUUAAACUUUUAUUUCAUUAUAUUAGUUACACUCCAGAUCUGGUUUUAAUUAGAAACCUCAAUUCUUGGUCAGAUUUACAGCGUUGUCGGUGAUUUGGAAUAUCAAGAUUUUGGAACGGGGGGUUUUGAGUUUGAUGUUUUCGAUUUAUUUUCUUAUGAAGUUUAUUUAGCUUUUACGUCAGAUCUGGUUUUAAUUGAUAAACUCGAUUCUUGGUCAGAUUUAGAGGCGUUCGUUGCUUUGGAUAUCAAAGAUUUUGGAUCAGGGGGUUUUGAGUUUCAUGAUUCUGAUUCACUUGACUUUUAUUUUCUUAUGAAGUUGCUUGUCCGGUUUUGAUUGAAAACCCCAAUUCUUGGUCAGGUUUAGGGAUGCUGUUGGUUUGCAUAUGAAGAAUUUGGAUCUUGGGGUUCACGGGUUCAUGAGUUUGAUGUUUCACAUACCCUUUUGUUGAGUUUAUCAUUUUCUAGUAUAUUACAGUCAGAUCUGGUAUUGAUUUGUAGCUUCAAUUCUUGGUCAGAUUUUGAGAUUCUUGGUUUGGUUUAGAGCGGCAAUGAUUGGAUAUUAAGAAUUGUGAUCAGAAGGGGUUCAGGAGUUUGUUUAAUCAGAUUUAUUUAAUUAUAUCAUUUAAGUUUCUAGUCUAAUAUGGUCAGAUCUGGUAUUGAUUCGAAGCUUCAAUUCUUGGUCAGAUUUAGAAGCGAGAGCAGUUGAUGAUUCGGUAGUGAGAGUUUGGAUCCUGUUUUCAGCCCGAGUCUUUGGUUAAGGAGAUGUUUAAUCAAAUUCUCUUGUUUUAUUAUAUCCUUAUGUUUUUGGUUUAUUGCGGUCAAAUCUGGUUUUGAUAGAAAGCCUCAAUUCUUGGUCAGAUUAAGAGCGCUGUUGGUGGUUCUCUCUGGUUAGGCGUGGUACACAGAAGCAGCUGCUUAUCCGGUGAAUUGGUCACAACUUUUGUAUGUGUGUUUUUGUAUUGGUUUAUGUUUGUUUUCUUUGCAGGUUUCUUUGUUUUGAUCUUUAGGUUGAGAUGAAGGAUUAUUACUGAAGAUAUGUUGUGUGAUUUGUGGUGGAGCUGAUUACUCCUUGGAUCAGCUGAUGGAGGAAAGCUGUGUGCCCUAAACUAUUUGGUGAGAUUUUAAAUGGAUCUAGGCUGUAGACAGUGUUACUGUGAUCAAUAUGUUGGUAGUGCUAGCAUUAAGGAUGUAGUAUGGUGUAGAAGAGAUCAAUACAGAUCCCUUAAUGUUAAGGGGAUGUAUUGAACACUCUUUGUCAUCUGACCUUUGCCAUGUCGGGUGCGCUUGCUUGGCAGGUCAAAAACCUUAAUAAAAAGAUCAUAUUUUUUGGUUGGGGGGAGAUCGCACGGGGAUUUUGCCCGGGAUCUUCCCCAGGUGUGUGUGUGUUGUGCCUUUCUGCCUUUUAUUCCAAUCAUCAAAUACCUACAUGCAACUGCAAUUGCACUUGGAUUGAAGAAGGUAACACUACCACACAUAAAGCACCGUAUUCAAAGCUCUAUUCUUAGAUAAUUUGGUGAUGUUCUCAGCCGGCCCCAAUUGGUCAAUUUGGAUGCAUAUCUCCAACAUGCAAGGUACACAUUUAACUUUCAGUUUCUAUAUUGACACAUGCUUUACAUAAUUUAUUAUCCUGCACUAUACACAUGAUAACACUCCAUGAACAUGAGUUUAGGCCAACCCAUAAGUAGUUCACAAUCUUUGAACCAGAUAAUAUUCACAUAGUAUUGCUGAUUCUGAUUGUAGAGGAUAUUCAUGACAAAGCUCAGGAUUUUCAGUUUAGUUAUGUUUUGGUGUUUUCAACUAGUGAAACUAUCUCAUUGUUUAUUUUUGAAAAUCAUAUUUUGAAAAGUAUGUUAAUAAUUUGAUGAUAUUUCCAUGGUAUAUUUUAUGAAAUUCGAUCGGAUACGAAACAAAAAAAUCUACAUAAUUUUGCUAGUGUUAAACCAGUUUUUGAAAAUGCCAAUACUUUUUAAUACUAUAAGCUGCACGUAUAUUUAGCUUUUCACACCUCAAAACGGAGUAUUUUAAAAAAUAUUCAUCAUCAUGUCUACUUCAAUAAAUCUAUGAUUUUUAUAGAAAGUAAAUGUUUCUUUGUUUACUUGGAU
rnacentral:lncRNA from 1 species